rnacentral:rRNA from 1 species
UACGGAGGGUGCGAGCGUUAUCCGGAUUCACUGGGUUUAAAGGGUGCGUAGGUGGGCAGGUAAGUCAGUGGUGAAAUCUCCGGGCUUAACCCGGAAACUGCCAUUGAUACUAUCAGUCUUGAAUACCGUGGAGGUAAGCGGAAUAUGUCAUGUAGCGGUGAAAUGCUUAGAUAUGACAUAGAACACCCAUUGCGAAGGCAGCUCGCUACACUAUUAUUGACGCUGAGGCACGAAAGCGUGGGGAUCAAACAGG